GGCGCACGGGUGAGUAAUAUAUAGCUAACUUGCCCAUUACUAAGGGACAACAGUUGGAAACGACUGCUAAUACCUUAUACUCCGUAUCUAUAUAAGUAGAUACGGGAAAGUUUUUCGGUAAUGGAUAGGGCUAUAUCGUAUCAGCUAGUUGGUAAGGUAAUGGCUUACCAAGGCUAUGACGCGUAACUGGUCUGAGAGGAUGAUCGGCCACAUUGGGACUGAGAUACGGCCCAG
rnacentral:rRNA from 1 species